GCGUGGUCUAGCGGACGGGUCGGGGCCUCGCGGGGCUGGGCUGCGCAGCCUGGUACUUCGGGGCCUGUACCCCAAGACGGGCGCGGGGCUCGGUUUGGCUCCGAGUGGGAGUUCUCAGCCUCUGGGCCCGCGGGGCCCCGGCAGCGGGACGCCCUGCGCCCGAGACUCCGCCGAGGUUCCCAGGAAGCCCGAACUUCCCGCCCCUGGGAGCCCAGCGUACCGCAGCUCCCCGCGAUGGCCCUGGACCCUGCAUCUCAGCAAACCACAGGCGGCCGGGCCCCACUCAGGUUCAGAUUGUGGAAGUCCGGCUUCCUGGGAGGGCUCAGCUGCCCUCUUUUAAAAUAGACCACCAACUGCAAUUAAAUAAUGCAAUAAAUGGAUUAAUGUACAGAAUUUCUGGGAAGAUUUGAUGGCCACAUGCAGAAGAAUGUAACUAGACCCUUGACUUUCACCAGUUACAAAAAUCAAAUCAAAAUUGAGUAAAGAAUUAAAUGUAAAAUAGAAAAAUUGCUUCAGGCCACUGGAAUGAAACUCCAAUGAGCAAGGAUUUCUUUUUUUGGACAAGACUCCAAAAAAAAGGUAACAAAAGCAAAAAUAAAUAGGUGGGAUUAUGUCAAACUAAAAAGCUUUGUCACAGAAAGGGAAACAAUCAACAGAGUGAAGAGGCAACUUACCAAAUGGGAAAUAAUAGCAAAUUACACAUCUGAAGGGUUAAUAUUGAGAUACAAAAGACUCAAUAGUAAAAAAGUAAGCAGCCAAUUAAAAAAAUGGACAAUAAACCCAAAUAGCAUACAAAAAAGCUUUCUUUAACUUCAUUUUUUUCUGGAAAUUUAUUUAUAUUUAUUCAAAAUAUACCAUUCUCAUAGCACUGAUAAAGACUUUAACAUAUCCAAAGAAAUGGAAAUCCUGUGAAGUGUUUGCUCUCCAGUAAGUUUACAUCAGAAUUAUGAAAAAAAUUUCGUGUUCAGAAUGUUUACAUUUCAAAAUUGUAGAGAAGGGACAGUAGAACUAUAAUAAUGCCACAAGGCCUCAGUCAUGGCAUAAUAUUUUUUAAUAUAAUUUUUGCUUAUAUAAAAUUAAAAUAAUUUUAAAAGUAGUGUUUUUUUAAGCAAAACAUUUGUUGGAACAUUUUAGAUAACCAACAAUAAUAUUCAUCAUAGGGAAUUUGUACCUACACAUGAUCUUCCUUCUUUUUUUCCAUUCCCACCUCCCUUUGAUCCCUCUUCCCCUCAUUUACAAAAGUUUUGUUUCCAAUUUUUCUUUCUAUUCUUUUUUUCUUCUCCCUUCUUUCCUUCCCCUU
rnacentral:lncRNA from 1 species